AAUUAUUUGUCAUGCUUCAUGACAUAACUUUACUGAAUUUCAAAAACUUUCAAAACUAAAACAUGUACACAAUACUUACAAAUUCAAAAAAAUACAGAAAAUAUGUCUCAUAGUCCAGAAGACAGAUAAAUAUGGGUGCUUUGCGCAUCCUGAUCAUUACGUACAUAAUUGUAUACAUCACCAUAUACUUAGGCCUCAUCGGAACCCUUGUUUACAUCCGAAGCAUUUACAUACGGGAUUACAAGUAUGCAGAGCUCAAUUAUAUAAUGUUGCUUUAUAACAAAAUGUUGAUGUGCCGAAUCCGAAACAACACUAAAUAUUAUAAAUAUCUAGUAUAGAGCUCCAAAACCAAUGAAAAGCCAAGAAUAUAUUCAAUACUCGCUUUAUUUAAAAAAUGCAAUAUGAAAAGGCACUAAUGUGGACGGUAUCAGACUAAUGUACACCAGAUGGAUACAUUUUGUUCGUGUAUUUUUGUGCAAUGACUUUAUAAAUAUAUGUACAUGAUUUAAUUUUAAAACAUA